rnacentral:rRNA from 1 species
GACGUAGGGCGCGAGCGUUGUCCGGAUUUAUUGGGCGUAAAGAGCUCGUAGGCGGCUUGUCGCGUCGAAUGUGAAAACCCACGGCUCAACUGUGGGCUUGCAUUCGAUACGGGCAGGCUAGAGUUCGGUAGGGGAGACGUGGAAUUCCUGGUUGUAGCGGUGGAAAUGACGCAGAUAUCAGGAGGAACACCGGUGGCGAAGGCGGGGUCUCUGGGCCGAUACUGACGCUGAGGAGCGAAAGCGUGGGGAGCGAACAGGG